rnacentral:rRNA from 1 species
GACGAACGCUGGCGGCGUGCUUAACACAUGCAAGUCGAACGGAAAGGCCUGCUUUCCCUUGUGGAUUGCGGGUACUCGAGUGGCGAACGGGUGAGUAACACGUGAGUGAUCUGCCCCCAACUUGGGUAUAAGCCUGGGAAACUGGGUCUAAUUCCCGAUAGGACUGCAGGGUGGUGCCUGUUGUUGAAAACGAUUUUCUAGUGGUUGGGGAUGAGCUCGCGGCCUAUCAGCUUGUUGGUGGGGUAAUGGCCUACCAAGGCGGCGACGGGUAGCCGGCCUGAGAGGGUGGACGGCCACAUUGGGACUGAGAUACGGCCCAGACUCCUACGGGAGGCAGCAGUGGGGAAUAUUGCACAAUGGGCGGAAGCCUGAUGCAGCGACGCCGCGUGGGGGAUGACGGCCUUCGGGUUGUAAACUCCUUUCGACCGCGAGGAAGCCACCUGGUUGGAAGGGUGGUGACGGUAGUGGUAGAAGAAGCACCGGCUAACUACGUG